UGGCGGGACCUAGUGGGUGCAGGUGGUGCAGACGGGUACAGGUGGCGGGACCUAGUGGGUGCAGGUGGUGCAGACGGGUACAGGUGGCGGGACCUAGUGGGUGCAGGUGGUGCAGACGGGUACAGGUGGCGGGACCUAGUGGGUGCAGGUGGUGCAGACGGGUACAGGUGGCGGGACCUAGUGGGUGCAGGUGGUGCAGACGGGUACAGGUGGCGGGACCUAGUGGGUGCAGGUGGUGCAGGUGGCGGGACCUAGUGGGUGCAGGUGGUACAGGUGGCGGGCCCUAGUGGGUGCAGGUGGUACAGGUGGCGGGCCCUAGUGGGUGCAGGUGGUACAGGUGGCGGGCCCUAGUGGGUGCAGGUGGUACAGGUGGCAGGCCCUAGUGGGUGCAGGUGGCGGGACGUAGUGGGUGCAGGUGGUACAGGUGGCGGGACCUAGUGGGUGCAGGUGGCGGGACCUAGGUGGUACAGGUGGCGGGACCUAGUGGGUGCAGGUGGUACAGGUGGCGGGACCUAGUGGGUGCAGGUGGUACAGGUGGCGGGACCUAGUGGGUGCAGGUGGUACAGGUGGCGGGACCUAGUGGGUGCAGGUGGUACAGGUGGCGGGCCCUAGUGGGUGCAGGUGGUACAGGUGGCGGGACCUAGUGGGUGCAGGUGGCGGGACCUAGGUGGUACAGGUGGCGGGACCUAGUGGGUGCAGGUGGUACAGGUGGCGGGACCUAGUGGGUGCAGGUGGUACAGGUGGCGGGACCUAGUGGGUGCAGGUGGUACAGGUGGCGGGCCCUAGUGGGUGCAGGUGGCGGGCCCUAGUGGGUGCAGGUGGUACAGGUGGCGGGCCCUAGUGGGUGCAGGUGGUACAGGUGGCGGGCCCUAGUGGGUGCAGGUGGUACAGGUGGCGGGACCUAGUGGGUGCAGGUGGCGGGCCCUAGUGGGUGCAGGUGGUACAGGUGGCGGGCCCUAGUGGGUGCAGGUGGUACAGGUGGCGGGCCCUAGUGGGUGCAGGUGGUACAGGUGGCGGGCCCUAGUGGGUGCAGGUGGUACAGGUGGCGGGCCCCAAGAGGGCUGGCAGGUGCCACUUCAUCAGAAUGUAAACAAACACCCACCACACCUU